GACGUAGGGCGCGAGCGUUGUCCGGAUUUAUUGGGCGUAAAGAGCUCGUAGGCGGCUUGUCGCGUCGUUCGUGAAAACCUGCGGCUCAACUGCAGGCUUGCGGUCGAUACGGGCAGGCUGGAGUUCGGUAGGGGAGACUGGAAUUCCUGGUGUAGCGGUGAAAUGCGCAGAUAUCAGGAGGAACACCGGUGGCGAAGGCGGCUCACUGGCUCAUAUCUGACGCUCAGGCGCGACAGCGUGGGGAUCAAACAGG
rnacentral:rRNA from 1 species